rnacentral:rRNA from 1 species
GUCGAGAAUCUUCCGCAAUGCGCGAAAGCGUGACGGAGCGACACCGCGUGAUGGAUGAAGUCCUUCGGGGCGUAAACAUCUUUUAUAAAGGAGGAAAUUUUUGACGUUACUUUAUGAAUAAGGGGCUCCCAAUCUCGUGCCAGCAGGAGCGGUAAUACGAGAGCCUCAAGCGUUAUCCGGAAUCAUUGGGCGUAAAGGGUGCGUAGGUGGUUUGAUUAGUCUCCCGUUAAAACUUCGAGCUUAACUCGAAAAGAGCGGGGGAAACAGUCAAACUAGAGUAUGUGAGAGGUGUGUGGAACUCAUGGUGUAGGGGUGAAAUCCGUUGAUAUCAUGGGGAACACCAAAAGCGAAGGCAGCACACUGGAACAUCACUGACACUGAGGCACGAAACCUAAGGUAGCGAAUGGGAUUAGAAACCCCAGUAGUCC